CUCGUUCCUGCUCCAACCUCCAUUGAAGAAACCCCAAAGCAGCUUGACAAGGAGACUAACUCUGGUCCAACCCCUAGUUAUAUCACCUUCUCUGACUUAGGCCUCGCCGGGUGGGCUGUACAGACCUGUAAUGAGCUGGGCAUGAAGAAACCCACUCCUGUACAAUAUCACUGUAUACCCAGAAUACUCUCCGGACAGGAUGUGUUAGGUUUAGCUCAGACUGGUAGUGGAAAAACAGCUGCAUUUGCAUUGCCUAUUCUUCAUCGUUUAGCUGAAGAUCCUUAUGGGGUGUCCUGUCUUGUGGUUACUCCGACACGGGAGCUUGCGUUUCAGCUUGCCGAGCAGUUUCGG
rnacentral:misc_RNA from 1 species